rnacentral:tRNA from 2 species
GGGGCCGUGGUGUAGCGGUUAACAUUCCUGACUGUCGAUCAGGAGAUCGCGAGUUCGAAUCUCGUCGGCCCCG